UGGGAGGACAAUGGUGAGAAGAGGGAACCUAAGAAUUCCUGGACUCUGACUGGGCGUGAGAAAUGGCCGGAAGUAGCUUCGAGUCCGUCAUUCAAGCAGUAGAGGCUCUGGAGAAAAACUGGAGCGCAUCUGCUUAAAGGGCCGCCCAGGGUCAGGAUGGAGGGGCAAAGUCCGAGCAGGGGGUUUCCUCCCAUAUUGGAUCACGAUGAAAACUGCACAGAAAGUCCGUGCUCAGUUUCUUCCAUGGUUACAGAACACAGGCCCCAGACCAGGAAGGCAUUCUGCUAAAGAAGGGGACCCGAAACCUCAGCUACCAGCGCCGAUGGUUCAUCCUCCGAGGAAACCUCCUCUUCUACCUAGAACACUAGACCGACCAUGCACCCCUGAGCCUCAUCCUGUUAGAGAACUGCCAGGUGGAACCACACCUUAAGGCUGCAGAACCCUAUGCCUUUACCAUCCUGACCCCUGGGGUGGAGGGCACAGGUGGGCGGGCCUACAAGCUGGCUGCAGAAACCCAGGAAGAGCUGGAGACUUGGCUGUGGGCACUGGCUGGCGCGAGCUGGAGGCGGCUGGCUGGGCUGCUGUCCCCCCUCCCCCCCCACCAAAACCCAAUACUGGGAGCUGUGCCAGGCAACUGGCCAAGAACCCAUCUCAUCCCCAGAGGACAGUGGCUUUCUAGCCACUGUGAGUACCCCCUCCAGCUUCCAGGAGUUGCAUGAGCACUUUGGGAAGGAGAUCCGGGUGCUGCACGUGGUACAUAGAGAGCUCCAGGCAGCCAGUGACAAUGGAGACAGCAGAUCCCAGGCAAAGAUGGAGCAGGAGCUCAACCAGUGUCUGAUGAGUGACUGAGAGAUGGACCCAAAGCUAAGAGGUACCUACUUGCCAAGACAGCAGACUGCUUCAACAGAGACCCAGGUCCUGGCUCUGUCCCUCCCUCCCUCGUCCUUACCCCAUCCCCCCCUCAUCAAAUAACAAGGCAGAAAACAGGCCCA
ensembl:lncRNA CD2BP2-DT CD2BP2 divergent transcript